rnacentral:guide_RNA from 1 species
AACGGAGAUGAGCAAUUUAGAUUCAGAGUUAUAUGUGAUUUU